GCCGGUGUGGGGCUGAAGGGCUGCUGCCCGUGGGGCGGAUGGGGGGUGUUUAGGAGGUCUCUAGGGGCUGCAGGGCGGCUGGAGAGGUUCUGGGGGCUGCAUGGGGCUGUGUGGUGCUGUAAGGAGGGAUGCGUGGGGACUUGCUGCGGGGUCUGGAGGGGCUGGGGAGGAGGUGAGGGAGGGGGACAGCACCACUGGGGUGGGAAGAAUCAAGGGGCUGGAUACCUGUCGACACUCUCCUGGGUGCUUUUUAGAAAUGUGGUGUGAAGGCAGCUCUUCUGUCUUAUAAGAUGGGGGUCCUGCUUGGAAACACUAGAGACUGGACUAGCAAUGGGAUAAAGAAAAGCUGAAAGGAUUCAGGCAGGUCUGCUGCGUUUAUCCCCUCACCCAGAAAGGUUCCCAGGGUGACGCAGACUCGAGGUGCUUGACCCAGGAUGCCUGUCUCCCACAGAUGGAGGGAACGGCCCGGGAACUGAAACUUCUGCCCUCACUAUGGGUCAGUUUUAUUUAAUUGCUGUAACUGGGGAAUUGGGAGCAUAACUGAGGUGAAGAUGAGUCGCUGGAAAGCCAGGCUCAGACAGCAGCAAAUCGUCUGAUGACUCCCUCAUCUAGACCUAGUGGUGGGACGUCCUGCCAGCAGUAGAGUCCUGGAGGAAGGGCACCCACCUGCAUGUGUGGGCACUGGGAGAGUGCAGCAGGCUCAGGCCCUGUAUGCAAAGCAGGAUCAGCCCAGCACAUAGAUAAGGUGUUAAUCACAGUUCUCCAAGUCCCAAAGAGUGUCAUUGUGGCUGUCCUGAUCAUUUCUUCCAGGGAGAAUGGGAGCCUGCAGCUCUGCUUGGCUUGUUUGCAAGGCGUGGUGAGGGUUUGUGUCAGGGUGCAUGCAGAUCACUGGGCUGCUCAAGGCCAGCCUUGAGUUCCUUGGCUGGAUAAGCUCUUCUGAGCCAAAGCUUUUUUGCUGUUCAAUCACAUUACACCAAAUUAAUGCAAAUAUGAACUUGAUAAGAAGACAACAGCAUACAUUCUUUACACAGCCAGAGUACAUAGAGAAAAUGUUGAGGCUUCAGGCUUUCUCACAGGGUGACAAUGUUUUGCGAUCUCUUUGUUUCUUUGUGUAUGGCUGCUUAGGUAGUGAUUGAGUAAGUUCUAAAUAAAAUAACUAUAUACAGCAUAUACAGGUUAUCGAAAAAAAAAGAAAAAAAAAGUAAAAAAAAAAAAAAAAAAAAAAAAGUAAGCUGUGCCUGACUUUUAAAAGCUUAUUAAAAGCACUGACAAAGGAAGAAGGGGUCUUUACCACGUGAAAGCAGAGAAUGUAUAUGUAAGCCAAGCAAAUUAAAAUAUCCCAUGUUGUUUACUGUCUCAUGGUACCACAGGACAGAAUUUUCCAUGCAACUACAUUUUAGUUAGAACUCAUCACUAAAAAUUUCAGGGGUUAUCCCUGGACUGAUGUGGGAGCCAUUGUAAUGAUAAUGGUAGACUCACAUUGCAAAUGACUGAUAUAGGUUUAUUCAACAGCAACAACAAAAACAUUAAAAAAGGAAGUCUGCAAAAUUCAUAUUUUAGUUGAAAGUUACCAAAACAACUAAAUAAACAAAUUGCUUUAAAUAAAUUUCUUUAAGUAAACACUGAGGAUGUUAUCAAAAACAAAAUCUGACAUCCAUAAAAAUCUUCUUCCAUUCUUGAGUCAUUCCUGUCUGUGGGAGGUAAAUUGUCAGUUCUUCAACGAAAAAAAUUGAUGGAUCCUAGCCAUGUAACACUUUGUGAAACACAUCAUGUAAAACAGAAGGAACAUGCAGUCUUUACAUGCAGGAAGAGAUAGUUUUAGCUGUUGUCAUUGAAGCCUGAUGAGAAGUGUAUUGAGCAGGGAACAAAGAUGCCAGUGAAGAUCUCACAUUACCAAAAUUAAUAUUAGGUAAUUCAAAUUUUAAAAUCUUCCUUAGUUUUGGGGGUGUUGGAGAAUCUAGUAAACUUUAUGCAGUAUAAACCAGAUGAGGCUACUAAGUAUAGUAAAGGAGUACAUCCAACCUUAGUGGGCAGCAACACUGCGUAUUUUCAUAAAGAUCUGUCAGUAUAUGCCCAUACUCAUUUCAUACAGGAAACAUACUUCUUUAAGAUGAAAAGGCUAUGCAUUAUUCCUCCAGAAAACUGCUUUUUUUUAUUACAUGAAACUAAUCUUUCUCCAUUGCAAGUUUUCUCCUCUCUAGCUCAAUCCAUGUAUCCAAUGGAGUUGGUGUAUUCAGAAAAGGAUACAUUAUAGUUUACAUCUGAAUCCCUUGUGAACUCAGGCCAUCACCCAGCCAAGACCAAACUGUGGUUUCCUGAGAGAAACACUGUCUCACUGGGUGAGCCCUGAAAGAAGAUGGUGAGUGGCUAAAGACGUUUGAAAAGAGCUCACUCAACACAAGAGAGAAACUGCAUGAAGAGAAGUUUAUUUGUUUUGUUUACUGGCAUUCUGGAGGGCUUUUUUAGUACAGGAAAGACUCUCUGGGCAGUGAAGUGGAAUUUAUGGGAAGUCCAAUUAUUUCCUUUGGAGCUGGGGGAAAGCCAUUCUUUCAGAGGGAAUGGAGAGCAGGGAUUGUGACAACCUGGGGAUACAGCUGGUUUUAAUUUUACUCAUCUCACUCUUCUGUAUACCAGCACCAGAAGAACUAAGUCCUUAGGAGAGAAAACUAGGUAAAAAGAUUACAAAAUACAGUAAUUUUGUUUCAUUUCUGUAGCAAGACUGAAAACCUGUUUUGGACACCAAUACCUUGGACAGAGGGGUAGUCAAUUUAACUGGAGGACAAGAACACCUUUGAAAGCAAAAAAAAGAAUCCAAGAUAGUAGCUAGAAUAUUAGCUAGAAUAUGGUGACACUUGUGAAGAAAGAACUAGGAGAAUGAGAAGGGCUUGUUUGCAUCUUGAUACCUCAGACACUAACUGGAAUGGAUAUAAAUUUGAACAUUCACUUUUCAGACACAAUAAGAAGCUUUUUCAAGGUUUUUUUUGGCAACUGAUAACUAAUCACUGAAUUGUCUCUUGAACAACAUCAUGUAGCAUACAUCUGGGAUGGACACUAAAUAUAUUCCAAAAUAAUACAAUUGGGUUUUCCUGGUUUAUGUGCAAAAGAAAUUUUUGCACCAGGUAGGAUCUAGGGAUCAGGGUUUGUGGGUGUGAGCUCUGGGGCCAGGUCCUUUUUCUUCAUCCUGCAAAUCACAAGUUGGAAAGACAGGUUACGCUUGCUCAACUCUCAUAUGAAACCCAGGAGGGCUGUAUGAUAUUAUCAUGACAAAUGAGGGCCACCAAGCUUUGUUUUCUAAGUAAUUCUAAUUCCCAGUUUUAUAUCCUGAGUUCAUAGUUUUGUAAUGGGUUCUACUUGUUAUACAGAAGACAAGGCAACAUACUUUUCUUCUCCUUUGCAGUACCCUAACACUAUGCAGAGCAUAUUAUGAAGUUUUCCAAAGCUGCUAACAGCAUCUAGAGAUAGUUAAAAGCAAUCAGUUACUCCCCCUGCAACUCCAGCAACUCAUGCUACACUGCAAUAUGAAAAGAUGUACUAAGAGCAUUCAACUGACAUUUAAAAAUUUGUCUAAACUGGCAAGUGGAGCAAAAGCUGCCCAUAGGAUAAGUAUUAAAAAAAUAUUUACAUUCUACUUAUAUCCUUAGUGAAACAGAAUUUGACAAAUCAUGAGCUUCAUUCACCAGCAUUCUGAAAUAGACAAAACUUGUGCUGGUAAACAGGGUUCAUUUAACUAAAAUGUAGACCAAUUAUGUGUGAUAUGAGCAUACGUGCAGAACUGUUUCAGAAGAAUGCAGCAACGUUAUAUAACAGCAUGUGGUGAUACAGUGUAACUGUUUAUGGUCAGAAAUUAGAAUUAUUAGAUGAAAAUGAUUUGCAGGGGAAUUCUAGGUUCUACAGUGCAUCUCAAGAAGAUGGAAAUCAGACUGAUGAGUGGAAUAAAUUUCCGAACUCAUAAUAAUCCGGUCAGAGAGAAGGCUUAGCACAAGCAAAGCAGUUCAGCUACCAUAGAUACCUAUCAACAUUUAAACAACACUUUUCACUAUACAUUUAACAGGUGAAGAGAACAGAGGGACCACAGUUGCCUGCGAAUCUCAGUCUCUGUGCCCAAACAGAAUCUGAAGUCAAAUUGAAUUUGACCUGGACCAAUGUAACAUAUAUUUGAAUAUAGUAAACUAAGCAUGCCUAAAUUCUAUUCAGAGAUUAUAAGAGAUUUCUGUAUCAGGAGUUGGUAUGACAUCCAUUGCAUUCCCUACUGACAUGACAUCCAUUUUCAUUCAUCUACUGAUGACUGACACUACUAGAAAUAGCAUUACUGAUAGGACGUUAACCAGGGCUGAAGUAAGAAGCAAAGAAGGAAAUUUCCCACAGUUCAGCCAGAAACCUUAGAAGAAAAUCCUGCGAUAAAGUGGAACUACUGUUUGUUUGUCCUACAGUAAGAUCUUCUGAUAUUAAUAAUUAUUUCUUUCAUAGGCCCCACCAAUUGGAGAUUGAACUGCUGAUAAGUGCAAUGUUGAAACUUGCUUUUCUUGUUUGUGAGAGUAAGCAUUUUAUUAAUCACUUCUGUGGCAUUUACAUACCACUGCAAUUUUUAUCCUACUCUUGUUUCUGUGCCUACCCACUUAAGCACUGAUUUUUAAUGUUGCAUUAUACUGCCUAUCCCAUAAUAGAUACCUACGUGAGCUUUCAUCACUAUAUUACCUUAGGAUUUCCACCCAAGGGACCAAUGUAAUUCAGAAAAUACUAGUGGAAAGCACAUUAAAAGUUAUGUCCUUAAAUCAAUCAGUUGUUGAAUGAUUCAACCUAAACCUGCAACACGCUCAUUCAUGGCUAGUCAUGGAGACAUCUGUUGCCUUUUUCCAGACAAUGAAUUUCUAGUGACAAUGCUACACAUGCAACAGAAAAGGCUUCAUGGAUGUUGCUCCUUCAAACCAUUCUUCCAAAUUCCAUAUCAUCCUUUGGAAGAGGCAAGGUGACUGUUGGAGGCAGCCCUAGAUCUUUAGAAAAUCUGCCUGCUGACAUCAGAAGAAAGUUCUUAUGCUCCUUUCAAGCUCUAAGAUGUGAGCAGUUUUGCCCAUGUAGCAUGGCUCUUGCCCCAGGCCACAGAAGGGAGAACAAGAGUGGGCUGUCACUUCAGUAAAUGUGUUUUAGAAGACUGGUCACCUUGCCUGUAUUUAAACAAAAUUAGCAGAUGAAGAUGUGUGCACCAUGUAAGUCAGCUAGGUCACUGCAAUUAGUGAUGUUUUAUAAUCCGGUUUGGUAGCCAAAAUUUUUAAAAGCCCUUGUAGUUGUAAAAAUAAAGAAAAUUGGUGGCUUAGGGCUAUGCAGAUGUUUUUAUAUAUGUAUAUUGUACAAACAUUGCUAAACCCAUAUAAACGAUAUGUUGGCUCUGUUCCUUCUACCACAUUUUCAAGAAAUCAGUGAGACUGCCUUAUUUUCUUUGUUUAGUGUGUGUCUGCUAUGGCAAAAUGUGCAAUGGAAAAACAACAUGAAUAAUUUGAUGCUACUUUUUUUCUUCAAUUUUAUAUACAAUUCUUGAUAAACAGAUUCUUGGUAAAUUAAAAGUCUAACAUUUUCUUAUAAAAAUGCUUUUCUUUC